ACUCACAAACAAGAGGUUGCCUUCUGUCCAGCCCUAGUAUGAGGCUUACUGUAGGCUGUUAUGUAAGGUGGAGAUGGUUUUGCUCAGACAAACUUUAUUACCAGCACCAAUGAGGGGAACCGAGAAUUCUGAGCCACUGUAGCUGACAUCACAGAACUCCAGCUGCUCUGUGGAUUGUAUCCUUUUCUACCUCUGUCCUUAAAAGCUAUUGGAGCCCUUAUUAAAAAAAGAAACUGCUGCUAUGUACUUAGAGAGCAACUCUUAUUUCGAGUGAUUCUUUUACCUGAUAAGGCAUUUGGAUAUUUAUUCCUCUAACUCGACUCCAAUCCCCCUAUCUUUUUCGUGUUUUCCCAGGUAAAGAGGAAAAAUCUCCAAUCCACUCCCAUCUGUUUGCCUCAUCCAGCAGAGCUUCCAGGCCACAGAAGGCUCAAGACUACAAUAUAAUUCCUGAGACUGCCAAGACCUUGGGUCUGUAUAACACGUGUGUCCAGUACCCAAGAAAGCCGGAAGAGGAUAUCAGAACCCCUGGACUGGCAUUACAGACAGUCCUUUUCCAUCACCUCAGUACUAAGAACUGAACCUCAGUCCUCUGAAAGAGUAGCUAGUGCUCUUAACUGCUGAGACAUCUCUCCAGCCCCCAGAAGACCACGAGAGAAUGCCUACAAGUCACCAAGUGAAAGGCAUCUCUGCUCCUGGUUUGACACUUACAGUCUAGAAAGUUUCCAUGUGUGAUGAACAGGACCUCUGUCUCCCCUUGGGAGCUUAAGCGAGCUGUGGUAGACCACAGGAACCAAUGGAAAUACCUCAUCCUAUUUAUGUUGGAUCACAUUUCACCAUUUCUGACAGAUGCAGCUUUGGGGAAGAAUAUUAACGACCAUGGGGGACACAGUAGUUGUUUGGAGACACCCGCAAUAAAUAGCCAAGAACUAUUUC
ensembl:lincRNA D830026I12Rik RIKEN cDNA D830026I12 gene